CCCUUAGAUGUUCUGGGCUGCACGCGCGCUACACUGAUGCGCUCAACGAGUUUUAACCUUGCCUGGAAAGGUUGGGUAAUCUUUUUAAAACGCAUCGUGAUGGGGAUAGAUUAUUGCAAUUAUUAAUCUUGAACGAGGAAUUCCUAGUAAACGCAAGUCAUCAGCUUGCAUUGAUUACGUCCCUGCCCUUUGUACACACCGCCCGUCGCACCUACCGAUUGAAUGACUCGGUGAAAAAUUGGGACUGUGAUUGAAAUUGCUUCAUUGCGAAUUUAAUUAUGGAAACUUUCUUUAACCUAGGCAUUUAGAGGAAGGUGAAGUCGUAACA
rnacentral:rRNA from 1 species